rnacentral:tRNA from 1 species
UGGCUCAGUUGGUAGAGCAUGCGACUCUUGAUUGCAGGGUCGAGAGUUCAAGCCCUC